rnacentral:rRNA from 1 species
GAUGAACGCUGGCGGCGUGCCUAAUACAUGCAAGUCGAGCGAACAGACGAGGAGCUUGCUCCUCUGACGUUAGCGGCGGACGGGUGAGUAACACGUGGAUAACCUACCUAUAAGACUGGGAUAACUUCGGGAAACCGGAGCUAAUACCGGAUAAUAUCUUGAACCGCAUGGUUCAUUAGUGAAAGACGGUUUUGCUGUCACUUAUAGAUGGUUCCGGGCGGCUUUAGCUGGUUGGUAAGGUAACGGCUUACCAAGGCGACGAUGCGUAGCCGACGUGAGAGGGUGGUCGGCGACACUGGAGCUGGAACGCGGACAAGGCGCCUGAGGGAGGCAGCAGUAUGGUAUCUGCCGCAAUGGGCGGAAGCCUUACGGAGCAACGCGGAGUGAGUGAUGGAGAUCCUCGGAUCGUAAUACUCUGUUAUGAGGGAAGAACAGAUUUGUAAGUAACUAAGGACUGCGUGACGGUACCUGGUCAGAAAGCCACGGCUAACUACGUG